GGGGCCGUAGCUCAGCUGGUAGAGCGCCUGCUUUGCAAGCAGGAUGUCAGCGGUUCGACUCCGCUCGGCUCCA
rfam:Candidatus Liberibacter africanus PTSAPSY, complete genome.